rnacentral:rRNA from 1 species
GAUCCUGGCUCAGGACGAACGCUGGCGGCGUGCCUAAUACAUGCAAGUCGAGCGAGCAAAGUUAAAGGAAUACUUCGGUAGGAAUUUAAUAGCGCGAGCGGCGGAUGGGUGAGUAACACGUGGGCAAUCUACCCUUUAGCUUGGGAUACCACUUGGAAACAGGUGCUAAUACCAAAUAAGAAGUAAGAGCGCAUGCUCAAGCUAUGAAAGGCGGCUUUCGAGCUGUCACUAAAGGAUGAGCCCGCGGUGCAUUAGCUAGUUGGUAAGGUAACGGCUUACCAAGGCAAUGAUGCAUAGCCGAGUUGAGAGACUGAUCGGCCACAUUGGGACUGAGACACGGCCCAAACUCCUACGGGAGGCAGCAGUAGGGAAUCUUCCACAAUGGACGCAAGUCUGAUGGAGCAACGCCGCGUGAGUGAAGAAGGUUUUCGGAUCGUAAAGCUCUGUUGUUGGUGAAGAAGGACAUGGAUAGUAACUGAUCUAUGUUUGACGGUAAUCAACCAGAAAGUCACGGCUAACUACGUG